UGCAGUUAAAAAGCUCGUAGUUGAAUCUCAGAUGAUUCAUGUCUGCGCUGCCUUGUGCUGUGGAAAGACAAGAAUCGUCUUCUUGCUGUGGAGAGAGUUUGGACUUCACCGUCCAUUUUUUCUGCUCGGCUAUGUUACUGUGAGUAAAUUAGGGUGUUCAAAGCAGGCAUAUGCUCUGAAUACGUUAGCAUGGAAUAACGAGAUAUGACUCUAUCCUAUCUUGCUGGCCUGUGGGACUAGAGUAAUGAUUAAGAGGGACAGUCGGGGGCAUUCGUACCAGUUGUGAGAUUUGAAAUUUUUGGAUCAAUGAAGGACGAACUACUGCGAAAGCAUUUGCCAAGGAUGUUUUCAUUAAUCAAGAACGAAAGUUGAGAUAUAAAAGACGAUUAGGCACCGUUGUAUUCUCAACCAUAAACGAUGCCGACCAGGGAUCGGCGGUUGUUGCUUUGAUGACGCCGCCGGCACCUUGCGAGAAAUCAGAGUUUUUGGGUUCCGGGGGGAGUAUGGUCGCAAGGCUGAAACUUAAAGGAAUUGACGUAAGGGCACCACAAGGGGGGGAGCUUGCGGGUUAAAUGGACUUCACACCGGGAAUCUUACCAGGUCCAGACAUAGGGAGGAUUGACAGAUUAAAAGCUCUUUCUUGAUUCUGUGGGUGGUGGUGCAUGGCCGUUCUUAGUUGGUGAGUUGACUUGUCUGGUUGAUUCCGGUAACGAACGAGACCUCCGCCUGCUAAUAAGUCGGUGUGGCCCGGCCAUUAUCCGUCUUCUUAGAGGGACUUUUGCGUUCUAAAGCAAUGGAAGCGGGAGGCAAUAACAGGUCUGUGAUGCCCUUAGAUGUGCUGGGCUUCACGCGCGCUACACUGAUGCAUGCAACACGUUUAUCUUGCGCGAGAGCGUCGGAGAAUCUUACAAUCUGCAUCGUGACGGGGAUAGAUCCUUGCAAUUCUUGAUCUUCAACACGGACUCCCUAGUAAGCGCGAGUCAUCAACUCGCGCUGACUACGUCCCUGCCCUUUGUACACACCGCCCGUCGCUCCUACCGAUUGGGUGUGCUGGUAAAACGUUAGGAUCGAUGCGUUGGGCCAGGUGUUCCACCAGGUCCUGUGUUGAAAAUAUCGCUGAAUCGCUGCACCUAGAGGAAGGAAAAGUCGAAACAAG
rnacentral:rRNA from 1 species